rnacentral:rRNA from 1 species
UAGUCCACGCCGUAAACGAUGGUCACUAGCUGUUUGGACUUCGGUCUGAGUGGCUAAGCGAAAGUGAUAAGUGACCCACCUGGGGAGUACGUUCGCAAGAAUGAAACUCAAAGGAAUUGACGGGGGCCCGCACAAGCGGUGGAGCAUGUGGUUUAAUUCGAUGAUACGCGAGGAACCUUACCAGGGCUUAAAUGUAAUAUGACAGGGGUAGAAGUACCUUUUCCUUCGGGCAUAUUACAAGGUGCUGCAUGGUUGUCGUCAGCUCGUGCCGUGAGGUGUCAGGUUAAGUCCUAUAACGAGCGCAACCCCUGUUGUUAGUUGCCAGCGAGUAAUGUCGGGAACUCUAGCAAGACUGCCGGUGCAAACCGUGAGGAAGGUGGGGAUGACGUCAAAUCAUCACGGCCCUUACGUCCUGGGCUACACACGUGCUACAAUGGUAGGUACAGAGAGCAGCCACUACGCGAGUAGGAGCGAAUCUAUAAAACCUAUCACAGCUCGGA